GAAUUAUCACACAACAACUCUUUCAUCCAUCAUGGACAUAUGUGCAGUUAUGCCAGAGUUUGACACUAAAAGAAAAAGUAAAUCCACUGAAGAACUUCAAGGAGAAAGCGUCGGAAGAGGGUCCUUCUUACAAAAACUUGUUAUUGUCCAUGGUCCGAUUGAUUCACGCUAAUCCACUGCUCAUGUUAAACAACCAAGGGAAAGCUGGACACGAAUUUCAGAACUCUACACUAGAAUGAAUCAAUGGUCUAUUCUCGCUGGUUCAUCAACCUAAUAUGACUGACAUGGCACAGGAGGCCAUGGACGCUUUACUAGUGCUUCAUCAGCCAGAAAAGAUUGAAAUGUGGAAUCCCACGUCCAGUUUUAUCAUCAACGUCUAACCCUUCAGGAGGAGUAAUUGAUCGCAAAUCUAAUCUUGUGGUGAACAAUUUAAGUCAAAUGCAAGAUAAUAAUCAGUACUGCCCAGUGACUUCGUUUGUGGGACAUCUCUGCGGCAGUUGUUGUGUGCCAACGAGAAAUUAGGCAGAAAAAUCCUUGAAGACGUUUGGACUAAAUUAAACUAUAAAUGAUGUCCUACUGUAUUUCUUUUGUUUGAAUACAUAUUUGGAACU